rnacentral:rRNA from 1 species
AUUGACUUUCUUGUUUGUAUUUGUGAUAUUGGUUUGUCUAUGAUUGAAGAAUUAUUUUGGUUAUUGUAUUUUUGUGAUUUAAUUUUUUUUACGAUAGGUUAUUUGUACUGUGAAGGGUUGUUGCUUGUUUAAUAGGUAUUUUUUUGGAAGCAGAUUUUGGUUAUUGUACCUUGUGUAUCAGGGUUCAUUGAAUUUUAUUAUUUAUUUUUAUUUCCCGAUUUUGGGGGAGUUAAUAAUUUAUGUUAGUUACUGUGUCAUUAGUAUUAAUAAUGUCUUAUUGGUAGUGAAAUGUUAUUCGUCUUUAAAGGUUUCUGGUUUUCCAAGAAAUGAAUUGAAUUCAUGUAUUUUAUUUAAUUUCUGUUAUUGUUUUAUUUAUUUUUAUUUUGUAUAAAGAUUAAGGGGGAUUAGCUUCUUAUUUUAUCGUUAAAAUUAUUUGUGUCUUAUUGUGGUUUUGUGGAUUUUAUAGUGAUUUUCAAUUUGAUUAUGUUAAAGUUUUAUUUGUUUUAUUGUUUAUUUUUGUGGAUUUAAGUUAUUUAUUGGAAUGUUUACUUUAUCUAUGGUUUGUAUGGUAAUUAUUAUGUAAUUAGUAAAUUUUUUUGUUGUGUUGUAUAAUUUGAGUGUUAAUUUCUUUUAAGGAAUUAGGCAAAUGUUUUAUAUCCGCCUGUUUAACAAAAACAUCUUUUCUUGUUAGUUUUUGAAGUAUGGCCUGCCCGCUGACUGUGUGUUGAAGGGCCGCGGUAUUUUGACCGUGCAAAGGUAGCAUAAUCAUUAGUUCUUUAAUUGUGAUCUGGUAUGAAUGGCUUGACGAGAUAUAGGCUGUCUUGGUGGAAUUGGGUUGGAAUUGAAUUUGGUGUUUAAGUUAAAAUUCUUAAAUGUUUUUAUGGGACGAGAAGACCCUAUAGAGUUUAACAUUUAUUUGCUGAGUAGUAUGUUUGUUUGUGUUAUGGUUAUAGUAAAUUAAGUGUUUUGUUGGGGUGAUGAGAGGAAUAUUUUUAACUCCUCUUUGUUUUUGUAUAUUUAUUUAUAUGUAUUCUGAUCCAUUUAUUGUGAUUAUAAGAUUAAAUUACCUUAGGGAUAACAGCGUUAUCCCCCUUGAGAGUUCUUAUUGGCGGGGGGGUUUGCGACCUCGAUGUUGGAUUAAGGUGAAUUUUUGGUGCAGAAGCUGGAGGUGAUUGGGUCUGUUCGACCUUUAGAAUCUUACAUGAUCUGAGUUCAGACCGGCGUGAGCCAGGUUGGUUUCUAUCUAUAAUAGUGUUUUAUAUCUUAGUACGAGAGGACCGGGUAUUUGGAAUAAUUUUAUUUCGUGUGAUUUUUAUUAAUGUGUUGCUAUUUUGGCAGAUAAGUGCACUGGAUUUAGAAUCUAUUAA